GCUAAUAUGUACUACGUUGAAAGCACCGCAUCCCGCCUGAUCUGCGAAGUUAAGCAUCUUUGGGCUGUGUUUAGUAACUGAAUGGGAUCCGGGAACGCACAGUGUCGUAAGUC
rfam:Trichinella zimbabwensis scaffold3s, whole genome shotgun sequence.